rnacentral:lncRNA from 1 species
CCCCUCUCCCCCCCGGGGAGAUGCCUUUGGAGAUGGGGUAAGGGUUGGGGUGGUUGGGGAGGGCUGUGGGGAGCCCUGUGGUCGCUAAUGCCACCCCUGCCUCCUCAGGUCUCCCUCCUACAGCCCCUCGCCUGUGAAGAAGAAGAAGAAGAAAAGCUCCAAGAAGCGAAAAAGAAACAGGUUAUCUUCAAAGAAGAGAAGACACAGCUCCCGUGGGCGCACCCGGAAAUCUCAUCGCCAUCGUCACCGCCACUGCCACUCUCGCUCAGAGAGCUCGGACUCCCACUCCACCCGCUGCCGAAGCAGGUAACAUCACCUGGGUGUCCUGCAUCACUUCCUGGUGGGCUCAAGGAUGUGAUUGCAAUAGCCUGUGUGACCCACAAACUCUCUGCAGAACCAUGUCUCAUUCUGGUAGCAGCUAUGUCACGUAGCUUGAGGUUGAGCUUCUUGCGGUCUCUGCCGCAGAAAAGUUUUGGCUUGAGGAGCAGCGGCUGCAGCUUUUCGGUCCAGCAGUCACUUCUAAUCCUCAUGGCUGAUGAUGAACCCAUGACAGCUGAUUCCAGCCUCGUUUCCUUUCCCCAGCCCAAGGGCUCUGUACUGCUGAUGUCCCAGGAAACCCUUAAACUUGGUCUUAGCAAUGGAAAUAUAUUCGCUCACGGCAUUCUAGAG